GGAUGGCAUUAUUGUCAGGGAUCGUAUACACACCCCUUCAAUAUGCACUUCAUGUGAAGGCUGUUGGGUCUGAACUUGCUGUUCACGCUGCCCCCUCUGAAGAGGUCGACUUCUUACAGGGUCAUCUGAUCUUGCAGCUGCUGUCUCUGCCAGCAUGCAGGCAGUGAGAACUGCGACAGAGGGGUGAUUUCAGUGUUUGAGGCACCCUGUAAGGCCAUGUCCUCUGACCUGCAAGGUCCUGCAGUAGAAGAUGAUGGAUCUCUGGAUGAAACGUCUUCCUCUUUGCAGUCCUCCUCUGAGCCAGGGGCAGGAGAGAAGAUCAAAGCCAGGGAGGGGUCCAGAAUUAAGUCCAUGAAAUUCCUAGUUCAAGCUGCAAGGAAUCAGAUAGCAAUGUAGCCUUCAACGGAAGCCAAGUCUUCAUACCAGUGAAACUGACAGCUUAUUCGGCAUAUCAAGAAGUCCCCGUGGAACAGCCCCUGCACCCUGAAGGUCAAGGGAUGCAAUAGGAAAAGAAGCCCCCAGAGUGUGGUACAGAACGGCAAUCUGCAAAGCAGAGGACUUACCUCCCAAGGAAAGAGUGACUGCACAUUCCAGUGCAUAUCUACGCAGAAGUAAAUUGCACUGCAUUGACUAAAGCUUAGCCCAAGCCUCCAGAUCUGUCUCUGCUUCUGCUCUGGAAAAGCUCUGUGGUAGGAAUAGCUUCAUGGAGUCUUCCCUAGAGCUUCAACCAAAGUAUGAGAAGAUGAAUACACUACAGGCUGUCAGAGGGAUGAUUGUACAAUGAAAAAGAGGACACUUGUGCACGAUCCUUGGUCACCUCACAAGUAAACAUAAAAUUCUCAAAGGCAACCCAUGAACAUUUUCUCUGAAUUUUUUCUCUCUUUUGAAUUUCUUUUUGAAAGCUGAUUCUUUUCCAUCAAGCGGCAUGAGAAAAGUAAGAACAAUAAUGCAGGAGAGAUGUUUAAUACAACACCAGUGGUCUAAAAUGUAAUCAUACAGAACAGGAAAUUUAAUUCUCUUCUGUCACAGUAUUUGUUGUGUCAUUCGUACUCUGCUUAUUUUCAUACAGCGUAUCCUAAUGUACUUUACCUCAUCUUUAUCUGACAUGAUAAACUGUCCUGAGGCAAUCUUCCUUUGAGGUUGCAGGUGCUUGUGCAUUUCAAUACAGAAUAAUUUUGUGAAGUC